GACGUAGGGCGCGAGCGUUGUCCGGAUUUAUUGGGCGUAAAGAGCUUGUAGGCGGUCUGUCGCGUCUGCUGUGAAAAUCCGGGGCUCAACCCCAAGCUUGCGGUCGAUACGGGCGAGGCUAGAGUUCGGUAGGGGGAGACUGGAAUUCCGUGGUGUAGCGGUGAAAUGCGCAGAUAUCAGGAGGAACACCGGUGGCGAAGGCGGGUCUCUGGGCCGAUGACUGACGCUGGAGGAGCGAAAGCGUGGGGAGCGAACAGGA
rnacentral:rRNA from 1 species